rnacentral:rRNA from 1 species
AUGAACGCUAGCUACAGGCUUAACACAUGCAAGUCGAGGGGCAGCAUGGUCUUAGCUUGCUAAGGCCGAUGGCGACCGGCGCACGGGUGAGUAACACGUAUCCAACCUGCCGUCUACUCUUGGACAGCCUUCUGAAAGGAAGAUUAAUACAAGAUGGCAUCAUGAGUCCGCAUGUUCACAUGAUUAAAGGUAUUCCGGUAGACGAUGGGGAUGCGUUCCAUUAGAUAGUAGGCGGGGUAACGGCCCACCUAGUCUUCGAUGGAUAGGGGUUCUGAGAGGAAGGUCCCCCACAUUGGAACUGAGACACGGUCCAAACUCCUACGGGAGGCAGCAGUGAGGAAUAUUGGUCAAUGGGCGAGAGCCUGAACCAGCCAAGUAGCGUGAAGGAUGACUGCCCUAUGGGUUGUAAACUUCUUUUAUAAAGGAAUAAAGUCGGGUAUGGAUACCCGUUUGCAUGUACUUUAUGAAUAAGGAUCGGCUAACUCCGUGCCAGCAGCCGCGGUAAUACGGAGGAUCCGAGCGUUAUCCGGAUUUAUUGGGUUUAAAGGGAGCGUAGAUGGAUGUUUAAGUCAGUUGUGAAAGUUUGCGGCUCAACCGUAAAAUUGCAGUUGAUACUGGAUAUCUUGAGUGCAGUUGAGGCAGGCGGAAUUCGUGGUGUAGCGGUGAAAUGCUUAGAUAUCACGAAGAACUCCGAUUGCGAAGGCAGCCUGCUAAGCUGCAACUGACAUUGAGGCUCGAAAGUGUGGGUAUCAAACAGGAUUAGAUACCCUGGUAGUCCACACGGUAAACGAUGAAUACUCGCUGUUUGCGAUAUACUGCAAGCGGCCAAGCGAAAGCGUUAAGUAUUCCACCUGGGGAGUACGCCGGCAACGGUGAAACUCAAAGGAAUUGACGGGGGCCCGCACAAGCGGAGGAACAUGUGGUUUAAUUCGAUGAUACGCGAGGAACCUUACCCGGGCUUAAAUUGCAGAUGAAUUACGGUGAAAGCCGUAAGCAGCAAGGCAUCUGUGAAGGUGCUGCAUGGUUGUCGUCAGCUCGUGCCGUGAGGUGUCGGCUUAAGUGCCAUAACGAGCGCAACCCUUGUUGUCAGUUACUAACAGGUUCCGCUGAGGACUCUGACAAGACUGCCAUCGUAAGAUGUGAGGAAGGUGGGGAUGACGUCAAAUCAGCACGGCCCUUACGUCCGGGGCUACACACGUGUUACAAUGGGGGGUACAGAGGGCCGCUACCACGCGAGUGGAUGCCAAUCCCCAAAACCUCUCUCAGUUCGGACUGGAGUCUGCAACCCGACUCCACGAAGCUGGAUUCGCUAGUAAUCGCGCAUCAGCCACGGCGCGGUGAAUACGUUCCCGGGCCUUGUACACACCGCCCGUCAAGCCAUGGGAGCCGGGGGUACCUGAAGUGCGUAACCGCGAGGAGCGCCCUAGGGUAAAACUGGUGACUGGGGCU